UAGCAGGAGGAACAAACACGAC
rnacentral:piRNA from 1 species